rnacentral:misc_RNA from 1 species
GAUGAAGAACGCAUCGAAAUGCGAUAAGUAAUGCGAAUUGCAGAAUCCGUGAGUCAUCGAAUCUUUGAACGCACAUUGCGCCCUCUGGUAUUCCGGAGGGCAUGCCUGUUCGAGCGUCAUUAUCACCCCUCAAGCCCGGCUUGUUGUUGGAUGCAGCGCUUAUCCCGCUCCUCCCAAAGAUAAUGACGGCGUCUGCGACGACUCCUGUACACUGAGCUUUCGGGCACGUACACGGCUAGAAGUCCAGACCCGGUCGCCGUCCCCCCCGCGGGGACACCCAUUACCACAAGGUUGACCUCGGAUCAGGUAGGAAUACCCGCUGAACUUAAGCAUAUCAAUAAGCGGAGGA